rnacentral:rRNA from 1 species
CAGGCUUAACACAUGCAAGUCGAGGGGCAGCAUUUCAGUUUGCUUGCAAACUGGAGAUGGCGACCGGCGCACGGGUGAGUAACACGUAUCCAACCUGCCGAUAACUCGGGGAUAGCCUUUCGAAAGAAAGAUUAAUACCCGAUGGUAUAAUCAGACCGCAUGGUCUUGUUAUUAAAGAAUUUCGGUUAUCGAUGGGGAUGCGUUCCAUUAGGCAGUUGGUGAGGUAACGGCUCACCAAACCUUCGAUGGAUAGGGGUUCUGAGAGGAAGGUCCCCCACAUUGGAACUGAGACACGGUCCAAACUCCUACGGGAGGCAGCAGUGAGGAAUAUUGGUCAAUGGGCGCAGGCCUGAACCAGCCAAGUAGCGUGAAGGAUGACUGCCCUAUGGGUUGUAAACUUCUUUUAUAUGGGAAUAGAGUUUUCCACGUGUGGAAUUUUGUAUGUACCAUAUGAAUAAGGAUCGGCUAACUCCGUGCCAGCAGCCGCGGUAAUACGGAGGAUCCGAGCGUUAUCCGGAUUUAUUGGGUUUAAAGGGAGCGUAGGUGGACAGUUAAGUCAGUUGUGAAAGUUUGCGGCUCAACCGUAAAAUUGCAGUUGAUACUGGCUGUCUUGAGUACAGUAGAGGUGGGCGGAAUUCGUGGUGUAGCGGUGAAAUGCUUAGAUAUCACGAAGAACUCCGAUUGCGAAGGCAGCUCACUGGACUGCAACUGACACUGAUGCUCGAAAGUGUGGGUAUCAAACAGGAUUAGAUACCCUGGUAGUCCACACAGUAAACGAUGAAUACUCGCUGUUUGCGAUAUACAGUAAGCGGCCAAGCGAAAGCAUUAAGUAUUCCACCUGGGGAGUACGCCGGCAACGGUGAAACUCAAAGGAAUUGACGGGGGCCCGCACAAGCGGAGGAACAUGUGGUUUAAUUCGAUGAUACGCGAGGAACCUUACCCGGGCUUAAAUUGCAUUUGAAUAUAUUGGAAACAGUAUAGCCGUAAGGCAAAUGUGAAGGUGCUGCAUGGUUGUCGUCAGCUCGUGCCGUGAGGUGUCGGCUUAAGUGCCAUAACGAGCGCAACCCUUAUCUUUAGUUACUAACAGGUCAUGCUGAGGACUCUAGAGAGACUGCCGUCGUAAGAUGUGAGGAAGGUGGGGAUGACGUCAAAUCAGCACGGCCCUUACGUCCGGGGCUACACACGUGUUACAAUGGGGGGUACAGAAGGCAGCUACCUGGUGACAGGAUGCUAAUCCCAAAAGCCUCUCUCAGUUCGGAUCGAAGUCUGCAACCCGACUUCGUGAAGCUGGAUUCGCUAGUAAUCGCGCAUCAGCCAUGGCGCGGUGAAUACGUUCCCGGGCCUUGUACACACCGCCCGUCAAGCCAUGAAAGCCGGGGGUACCUGAAGUACGUAACCGCAAGGAGCGUCCUAGGGUAAAACUGGUAAUUGGGGC